GACGAACGCUGGCGGCGUGCCUAACACAUGCAAGUCGAGCGGAGAUGUACUGAAGAUUUAUCGGAUGUACAUCUUAGCGGCGGACGGGUGAGUAACGCGUGGGCAACCUGCCUUUCACUGGGGGAUAACACAGGGAAACCUGUGCUAAUACCGCAUGACAUCACGUAGGGCAUCCUAUGUGAUCAAAGGAGAGAUCCGGUGGAAGAUGGGCCCGCGUCCAAUUAGCUGGUUGGUGAGGUAAAGGCUCACCAAGGCGACGAUUGGUAGCCGAACUGAGAGGUUGAUCGGCCACAUUGGGACUGAGACACGGCCCAGACUCCUACGGGAGGCAGCAGUGGGGAAUAUUGCGCAAUGGGGGAACCCUGACGCAGCAACGCCGCGUGAAGGAAGAAGGUCUUCGGAUUGUAAACUUCUUUGAUGAGGGACGAAUAAAGUGACGGUACCUCAAAACAAGCCACGGCUAACUACGUGCCAGCAGCCGCGGUAAAAGUC
rnacentral:rRNA from 1 species